UAUGCAAAUAUUGCUGGGUGAUGUGUACAUAGAGAGAUGUUGACAUUAAGGACAAAUGGUGGUGAUGGAGAUGGAGGUCACUGAAUGCUGUUGGACGAAGUUGAUGAGUCUCCAUGUAGCUGCUGUUGUGUUGUCGCUGGAACUGGCGGUGUCUUGUGUGGUCAGUGGCUAGACCUUAAAAGGUCUGAAACCAAAGACAUUGAGACAAGGAAAAGUUAAGUUUUUUAAUAAGGAGUUGUAGGCUCAGCUGAGGUAGAAAACAGGAUGCCACACAUGACCUUAUUUGAAGGCUGUGAUUGGUUGGGUUGCAUAUUGGUGCUCGAUAGAGCAAGAGACAAAUUG